rnacentral:rRNA from 1 species
AUACGUAGGGGGCGAGCGUUGUCCGGAAUGAUUGGGCGUAAAGGGCGCGUAGGCGGCCCGGUAAGUCUGGAGUGAAAGUCCUGUUUUUAAGAUGGGAAUUGCUUUGGAUACUGUCGGGCUUGAGUGCAGGAGAGGUAAGUGGGAUUCCCAGUGUAGCGGUGAAAUGCGUAGAGAUUGGGAGGAACACCAGUGGCGAAGGCGACUUACUGGACUGUAACUGACGCUGAGGCGCGAAAGUGUGGGGAGCAAACAGGAUUAGAUACCCUGGUAGUCCACACUGUAAACGAUGAAUGCUAGGUGUAGGAGGUAUCGACCCCUUCUGUGCCGCAGUAAACACAGUAAGCACUCCGCCUGGGGAGUACGGUCGCAAGAUUAAAACUCAAAUGAAUUGACGGGG